AUGCCAUGUUGAAUAAAAACUCAUUAACAAUAGGUUUUAGAUAACCAAACUUGAAGCAAUUUUUCACACAAGAGACUGGAUGCCUGGAUUAUUUUAAAAUUUAAAACAAGCUACUUGUGAGAACUUUUUCAAUAUGAUGACAAACUCGUUCUUGAUGCCCCAUGAAGGUUUAACAAGCUCAACAGGCCUGAGAUUAUAAAUAUUUCCUUAAUUUUCAGUAAAUUCUGUAUGAAUAUGGAUAAAAACCAAAAGUUUAAUUACAGAUGCAGAAAAGAGGUUCUGUAACCCAAAGCAGCCAUAGAAUCUAACAGGUACUCCUCGUGGCUCUAGCCAGAACAAUUUAAGUUGGAAUGCAGCUGUUUAUUACACAAUACUGUUGAUUCACCAAUAAACAGUUAUCGAAAUAAA